UACGUAGGGUCCGAGCGUUGUCCGGAAUUAUUGGGCGUAAAGGGCUCGUAGGCGGUUUGUCGCGUCUGGUGUGAAAAUCCAGGGCUUAACCCUGGACCUGCAUCGGGUACGGGCAGACUAGAGUGCGGUAGGGGAGAUCGGAAUUCCUGGUGUAGCGGUGAAAUGCGCAGAUAUCAGGAGGAACACCGGUGGCGAAGGCGGAUCUCUGGGCCGUAACUGACGCUGAGGAGCGAAAGCAUGGGGAGCGAACAGG
rnacentral:rRNA from 1 species